CAAACACAUUUUCUGCAAAGAAGGAAUAUAUUUUCUGAUAGAUAUCGAGAAAUGACGAUCAAUAUCAACUGGUUUGCACUUUUUCUUGCCAUAAUGCUCAUCAUAGGAACCAUUGAUGGCGGUCCACAUCUUCCCCGAAAAGCAAGCACCCGGGCAACCAAAGAUGUUGCCGUUGAAAGAAAAUUUUCUACAAACAGUUUCAACAAUGAUGCAGGAAUAGAUACUCAUCACAAGUAUUCUUAUACAAACCGUCCCGUGGUUAAAAACUAGUUGUGUCAUGCAACUAGUACCGUGCUCCAUCAUCUAUAUAGUUACAGAAAACAUGGAGAAAUAAGGGAUAUCGUUGGGUUUGAAUAAUGUUGGUCGAGUCUAGCCAAGUUGACUCACUGCGCCAUGUUACCAUAUAAGUGGACGAAUAUGUAUGAUUGUAUAAUAUUUGUGUGUAUAUAAACGUGGUUUGUUAAAUGAUAUGAAGUGUGGCGUGUUUUCU